UGAAUGCAUUUAUGUUAAGUCGCUUUAGACAAAAGCAUCUGCUAAAUGGAUGUAA
rnacentral:sRNA from 14 species